rnacentral:rRNA from 1 species
GUGACCUACGAGGAUGCCUAGUAGCGCGAGUCAUCAGCUCGCGUUGAUUACGUCCCUGCCCUUUGUACACACCGCCCGUCGCUCCUUCCGAUUGGGUGUGCUGGUGAAGAGUUCGGACUGGACCAUGGCUAGCGAUAGCCCCGGUACGGGAAGUUCUUUGAACCCUCUCGCCUAGAGGAAGGAGAAGUCGUAACAAGGUUUCCGUAGGUGAACCUGCGGAAGGAUCAUUUAAUUCGAUAAAAACACCGCCAUCAUGGUAACCUGUAAAAGUUUAAUCCGUCGUGCGCCUUGGGGUGUCGGGGGGCUGGAUCUGGGGAGAGAUUCGCUUUUCCUUCCCCCCUCCCUCCUCGGACGCGGCGGGGGGCGGUUGUCUCACGACAACCACCAAAUCUCACAUCGCAAGAAAGAGUUUACUACGAAGUAAAAAGCCGUACCACCGUCGACCUCGUCGCGGGGGACGCAACUAACCAAGAAUAACCCCUAACAACGGAUGUCUUGGCUCGCGCAACGAUGAAGAACGCAGCGAAAUGCGAUAUGUAGUGUGAAUUGCAGAAUUACGUGAAUCAUCGAAUCUUUGAACGCAUAUGGCACCCGAGACUUCGGUCGAGGGUAUGUCUGUCUCAGAGUCGGCGUAAAAACAUCCCCGAGAACACCCUCCGGGGCGUUCGAGGGGGAGCUGGCCCUCCCGGGUUCUCCUAUCGCAAGGUGGGGGAGGUUCCCGGGUUGGCUGAAGGGUAGAGACGGGGGACCGGAUACGCCGGGCAGCCACGAUUUGGUGGAUGGACCUCCGAGUCCGCGACACUCGUCGUGCUCCCGAUCAAAUGUAUCCCGGUCUAGCCCCGCCGUGCAGGAAAAAUUAUACAUCAUAGUUCCGACCUGAGAUCACGCAAGAUCACCCGCUGAACUUAAGCAUAUCAAUAAAGGGGGAGAAAAUAGA